CAAAUACUCCCUCCGUCCGGAAAUACUUGUCAUCAAAAUGGAUAAAAGGAAAUGUANUAUCUAGACGUAUUUUAGUUUUAGAUACAUCUAUUUUUAUCCAUUUUGAUGACAAGUAUUUUCGGACGGAGGGAGUAGAAA
rnacentral:pre_miRNA from 1 species